UCCUGUUUAGCUGAGUUGGUAAAGUGCUCCCCUAGAAAUGGAGAAGUCCCUCCCUGGUUCGAUACCAGGACCAGGCG
rnacentral:tRNA from 1 species